rnacentral:tRNA from 1 species
CGGGGCGUAGCUCAGCCUGGUAGAGUACUACGUUCGGGACGUAGGAGUCGCAAGUUCGAAUCUUGUCGCCCCGACCA